AGAGUGCGUCGUUGUCAAACGCCGAAACGCCGCCGGUAAAAAAUGAGCUAAAUGCCAAUAAAUAUAAUCUUGUUUUCUGUGCUGCAGGCGGCAGUUUCUACGCUGUUUUGGCGGUGGGUUUGUUAUUUUUUCCCGAUCUCGUUCUCGUUCUGUAGUAUAGUUUCACGAUAAUACAAGAAUGAAUACUAAUACUGAUACUACUACUAGAUAGGGCAGUAAGCAAAAGCAACGACAGAAAAAAAGAAGUGCUGGAGAAGAAUAUUUUACAAGAAAAAAUAAUAAGAAAGUUGCUGCUAAGCAGCCUCCUGAACACAAGAUAUUGUGCAAAUGCAAGUUAAACUGUCAAAAGAUAUCGCAUGAACAAAAAUUGAAGCUUUUUCAUGAAUUUUACGGUCUGAAUGACAACGUAAAGCAAAAUACGUAUGCAAUGAGUCUUAUACACGUAUGUGCUAUCAAAAGAAGGAGGCAUGGAAACUAUGAGCGCCCAGAAGCAAGUAGGAGACAGGCUACAUUUUCCUUUACCUUGCCCAAUGGAGAGGGCAACAUUUUACAGGUGUGUAGGAGGACCUUUUGCGCGGUGUUUGGAUUAACUCCGAGACAAAUUGAAACCUUGGCUAAGUUGAAAAAACGGGGAGAUUCAGUUUACAAGGAAAGGAGAGGUAAUAAACAGCUGUAUCGGAAGUUCACGCGGGAAGAUAAAGCACUGGUUAUUGGUCAUAUAAAAGUUAGGACAUUACAACCGUUCAAAAAGCGAGAAGCAGUAUCUGAGCUCCGAUCUUAAUAUAAAUAGACUUUACUCUGCAUUUAAGGUUGCUCAUCCUGAUUCAACAGUGAGUUAUCGUUUUUAUUUUGAAAUUUUCAAAAAGAAUUUUCCCAAGUUAAGUUUUCGCAAGCCUAGAAUUGAUACCGGUGCUACCUGUGAUUUACUGCAUAUGCAAACAAAAUAUCCCACAAAGGCCGAUGCUAAAAUUAAAUUAGAACUCCACCGCAGGAAAGCUGAAGCAGCUGUAGAAGCAAUAAGAAAAGACUAUCAAAACUGCCAGCAACCCACCAGUAACAGCAUGACAGUCUCAAUGGACUUAGAGUAGGUCUUAUCAUUGCCAACUUUAUCUCAUAGUUAUAGAUGUAUUACAUGCGACAGCUUUCCAACUAUAACCUUUGUGUUCACCUAGGGGAUAAUACACUGGCUUCAUGUUUUUGUGGCACGAAGGUAUAACAAGACGUGGAGGGAACGAAAUUGCGUCGUGUGUACUGAAAGCUUUCACUAAUAUACCCGCACAGAAGCGGAAGUUAACAAUCUGGAGUGACAACUGCGCUGGACAAAAUAAAAACAAAAUGUUAUUGUUUUUAUGGAUUUAUUUAGUUGCCAAGGGGCAUUUCGAUGAGAUCAAUCAUAAGUAUCUAGUGUCGGGUCAUUCGUUUAUGAGCUGCGACAGGGAUUUCGCUCAAAUUGAAAAGCGAAAAAGGCAAGAAAAAUGUGAGGUACCUAUGGAUUUAGUGAAGAUGAUGAUAGCAGCAGUGAAAAAAAAACCCAUUUCUGGUUACAAUAAUGAACCGUAAAGACUUUUUUGAUUUUAAAGUUGCUUCUGAAAGUACAAUCAAUACAUCUAAGCUUCAAAUUUCGAAAGUUCAAUGGAUUAAUAUUAGCCGAGAAAAUCCAGGAUUUGUCAGAAUCCGAGAAUCUCUGAACGAAAUGAGUCUUGAAAAGCAACAAAGGUUUUGAAGAAAAAUUUUACAAUUGAAGCUAUCACAGAAAUGACUCUGCCAAACCUAACCUGCCAGGGUAGAAUUUCUGAAGAGAAAAAACAAAAUCUGCUGGCAAUAAUUCCUUAUUUGAAGGAAGAAAACAGACAAUUUUAUGAGGAGGAUCUAUUGAAUCCUAACAUUAAUUAGAAGCUACAUUUUUUGUGUUUUUUCAUUAUUUACUUACCACAAUAUUUAUAUUUUUGUAAUGGCACUUAGCACAUUCUAUAAACUUGUAACUUGUCAUUUUUUUUCUGACAUUUUUUACAAAAAUUUGUCGAAAAUAUUAGGUACACAGAAAAAUACUUACUUGAAUAAACCUAUGUUUAAUUUUCA